CCUACGGGUGGCAGCAGUGGGGAAUAUUGGGCAAUGGGCGCAAGCCUGACCCAGCGACGCCGCGUGAGGGAAGACGGUCUUCGGAUUGUAAACCUCUUUCAGCAGGGACGACAAAAGGACGGUACAUGCAGAAGAAGCCAUGGCUAACUACGUGCCACAAGCCGCGGUAAUACGUAGGUGGCAAGCGUUAUACGGCAUUACUGGGUGUAAAGGGUGUGUAGGAGGGUUAGCAAGUCAGAUGUGAAAAGUAUGGGCUCAACCCAUAACCUGCGUCUGAAACUACAGGUCUUGAGAGUGGGAGAGGUAAACGGAAUUCCCGGUGUAGCAGUGAAAUGCGUAGAUAUCGGGAGGAACACCAGUGGCGAAGGCGGUUUACUGGACCACAACUGACGCUGAGACACGAAAGCGUGGGGAGCAAACAGGAUUAGAUACCCUUGUAGUC
rnacentral:rRNA from 1 species